UCCAUAGACGAUUUACAGUUGUUUUUCUGUUAACACAACAGACGAUGAAUAUUCCGAAUGUUGAAUUUCUCAUCAGUACAUUAAUUUUUCAUCAAUGAUCAACCAUCUCAAUAAAUUGGAUGAGCACGCGAAGAGGAAGGCAACAGUAUAUAAUGGUAUAUUCGAAAACACAGAACGGUUCAGUGGGUAUACUACCAAGACUGCAGAGGUUUGAAUAGUAAAUAUACGAGUUUUUCAGAAAUUCCUUAGUUUGUGCUUAAGAAGUUAUAGCUACAUAUAUCUGAAACAUGGUUACGAGAGGGAGUUGAUGACGGUGAAAUCGUAGAUACAGAUAUUUUUUAUCUGUUACGAGCUGACAGAGAUUUCGAAUAUACAAACAAGUCUACGGGAGGAGGUGUUUUACUGGCUAUCAGAAAGAAGUACAAAAUUUUACAAGUAGUUAGGAAAGCGACACUUUUUGAGGCACUGGUUGUGAAGGUGGAAGUUA